rnacentral:lncRNA from 1 species
AUUAUUCCGCCUUUUGUGGCAUUGGUGUUUGAUACGAGUAGUCUCAGCCUGUGCAGCAUUAAGUACAACCACGCUUUCUGCGCCCCCAGGUGGGAGGAUGCUCCGUUCCGGGAGAGCCUCCUGGCCGUGCGCGGGCAUUCCCGUGAUGUUGCCAAGGGGUAACAAAUUAAUAAUACCGGAAUGAGAAUGUAUUAGUAAGUAUAAGGGAAAGAGAGAGUUAAGCUUGAGGCAAAAAAAAAAAAAAAAAAAAAAAAAAAAAAAAAAAAAAAAAAAAAAAAAUUGAUUAAGCAUUGGUAAUAAAAGGCUGAAAUUAAGAGGCUGUGAGAAAGAGAAACCAACAGCAUUUCAUAGUUUGCUGAAGACAAUACCAAAAUUCCUUCUAAGGCAGUAACUUUUUUUUCCCGCCCAGAAGUACUUGGAUGAAAUAAUACAUGUUUUUGUUAAUAGUAUUCUGUUUUUCAGUGUUUUUCUGAAAGCUGCCAGCCAUUGAAUUUGGAUGGAUUUGGAAGUUAAAGGAGUUGCUGCAUCCCCUCGAAGAAAGGCUGAGCUGUCAAUGAGGGGGAAGAAAUAUCAGGACGGGGACUCUUGAAUACAGGACACUGGAAGUUCUUCUCAUAGAAGACAAGACCAGAAAACCUGCCAUCCCUCAGAGACAGAUCCAAGCUGAAGCACGGUCAGUAUGAAGGAGGUACAAAGGAAGAAUCUAAGCAGCAUCCUCAGAGAAUUGCAGAAAAGAAAAAAGACCACCUCCAGUAUCCAGACACUUCCAUAAAGGAGUUCUUCCUUUAUAUGCACUUCUGCAAGCCCAUCAAAAGGAUAUUUACAGGAGGAGCCAAGUUAUCUGAAAAUGAAGAAAUAGAUGGCAAAUGUAUGCUGGGAGAGAAAAAGCAGGACUGGAUUUUUUCUUUUUUUGGUGAUAUUGGGUUCCAGAAAAAUGCUUGCUAAGCACUAGAAGCAUGUGUGUUAAUUCUUCUCACAGAUUUUAAUAUAAUGUCUAUCAGAACAGGUUUUUUGUGUUAGAUAUUAUCACUGCCUGAUUAGAUGAAUAAAUAAAA